AUCGCUUCUCGGCCUUUUGGCUAAGAGCAAGUGUAGUAUCUAUAAUGUAUAGAAAAAUCACAAAGUUAAAAACUUAGCAUUGUACUAAAUUUCCUUUGACCAGAAGCUGGCCACUUGGGGUCAGGCAUGUAGUGGGGUGGGGGGUGGGGCUCGAGGGGUUUCAGCUCCCCCCCCCCCCCGAAA